AUACUUAACUGGACGGGGUUUAUGGGUGAUCAGUAAGGCCCAUUGCCUAGGUUGGCGACCUUCAUUGCACUUGAAAGGGGUGCCCGCCUAACAUCUCCCCAAGUGGAAGAGUGUACGUCAAAAUUUGUGCCAGCGGGGGUAUACGUUGGCGUGGCCCCUAA